UUGGGAACGGCCGCCGAGGUCAUCGUAGGUCCGACCUGCGGGCGAGUGACGCUCCCUGGCACUCCUGUCACUGCGUGCCACGGCCGGGCGUUCCUUGGGCACCUCCAGGGAUGCUCUUGGACAAGCAGAAGCAGAAGAAUUUGACCUCAGUCACUGCACAGGCUACAAAGUGGCCCAGCUGGAGCUGGGGCUUCCAGGGAUUCUCCUGCUCCCUCUCUCCUCACCACACAGAACUCCCUCAGCCAGUGUCUAGAGUUCCAUUGGUGCAGAUUUCCACAAGCUGUUAACAGAAUACCACAAUCCUUAAGUGAUGUAAGUGGAAAAAAAUGUGAACUUCUUUCAAAUAACAAUUAAAGCUCUUCCUUCUUGA